CAGAGUUGCAAAACUCCCACAAACCAUCGCGAAUCUUACCCGUACGGUUGCCUCGGCGCUGGCGGUCCGGAAGGCCCUCGGGCCCCCCGGAUCCUCGGGUCUCCCGCUCGCGGGAGGCUGCCCGCCGGAGUGCCGAAACCAAACUCUUGAUAUUUUAUGUCUCUCUGAGUAAACUUUUAAGUAAGUCA
rnacentral:misc_RNA from 1 species